rnacentral:rRNA from 1 species
GUGGGGAAUAUUGGGCAAUGGGCGCAAGCCUGACCCAGCAACGCCGCGUGAAGGAAGAAGGCUUUCGGGUUGUAAACUUCUUUUAUGUGGGACGAAAAAAAUGACGGUACCACAUGAAUAAGCCACGGCUAACUACGUGCCAGCAGCCGCGGUAAUACGUAGGUGGCAAGCGUUGUACGGAUUUACUGGGUGUAAAGGGCGCGUAGGCGGGAGGACAAGUCAGAUGUGAAAUACCCGGGCUCAACCCGGGAACUGCAUUUGAAACUGUUCUUCUUGAGUGAUGGAGAGGCAAGUGGAAUUCCUAGUGUAGCGGUGAAAUGCGUAGAUAUUAGGAGGAACACCAGUGGCGAAGGCGAUCUGCUGGACAGCAACUGACGCUGAGGCGCGAAAGCGUGGGGAGCAAACAGGAUUAGAAACCCUAGUAGUCC